rnacentral:tRNA from 1 species
GGGGUUGUGGCUCAGUGGUAGAGCGCUCAUCUCACAUGUGUGAGGCACUGGGUUCGAUCCUCAGCACCACA